rnacentral:lncRNA from 1 species
UGGACACCGUUACAAUAAUCCAUCCUCCGCAAUCCUUGGGGUGAGUUCCAAUACAUCCAUGAACGAUCAUCCAUGACUUCUAUUGAACCUCUAUAAAACAUAACAAAAAUAUUGGUUUUCCCCGACAUUAUCCAACAAACUAAAACAACACUUAUGUUAAAUAUUCAUUAUCAAUUAUCAACUAUCAACGUUCAUACAUACAAAUUUAUACAUAUAUAAAUUUACAGAAUUACUCACAACUUCGAAAUAUAAUUGAUAACAAUUAAACAAGACACUUAAAUAAGCUAUUAAUUAUUUAUUUCAUCACAACGACACAUUUAAUUCGGUGUAAUUCAAACAAAAUUUCAACAAUUUACAAACAAAUAUAAUUUGACAAAAUCUAAAACAACCUAUAACAACUACAAAAUUAUAUAUUCAUACUACAAGUUUCUUUGACAAAUAACAAUUAAACAAGUACAAACGUUAACAAAAUACAUAUACUAAAACAAUAAAAUUCACAAUUAAAUAUUAAAACUAAUUAAAAAGGAUAGAUUUACUUACAAAAAAAUGAUAAAAUCUACAAGAAACGGAUAUUGUGACCACGUACAAGAUAUAAGAAACUUCAGUGCUCGUGUUGAGAAUAGUGGAGAGUUUGGGAUUGGUGUUUGGUUGUAGUUUGGGAGGAGUUUGGGAGGGGAGAGGUGGGAUGGGAAAGAAGAAGAAGGAGAAACAGAGGAUGAGAGUGUCGGCAGAUGGGUGCAUAUAAUGGCUUUUUCCGACGGCAUCACCGACGGAAUCAUUCCGUCGGUGAUGCCGUCGGUGACAUCGCCACGUCACUGUACGGCUAUCACAGUUUGAAUCCCUCGGUACUUUCCGUCGGUAAAAUCGCCUGACAUCACCAUGCCGUUGCGUAUUUCCAGACGAAAUGUAUAUUCCGUCGGUGAAAUCGACGGUAUAUACCGACGGAAUAUUUCCGUCGGUAUAUACCGACGGAAUGAUUUCGUCGGUAUAUACCGACCGAUUUUGAGACGGAAUUAUGUCCGUCGGUAUUAAUUACCGACGGAAUAUUUCCGUCGGUAAUUCCGUUGCUUUUCUCCGGUUUUCUGGUAGUGAGUCCGAUUGUAGAAAUCCUCACACUCCUGAUCAAAAUUCCUCCGUUUUCUUUCCCUCUCCCCGCCCCUCUUUCUCCUUGUUCCUUGGUAUGCCAAAUCAAAAAUGGAAAGGUAAACAAAUUGAACAUUCCUUUUCAUUUUAUUUAAUUAUUCAUUGACUUUGGGCAUAAAACGAUAGUGUUUUUUAAGUUAGCAGUGAAUGAAUAGUAAAACCUCACUUUUUUAAAUCUUAAUUCUUAAAGUUAAUAACAGUAAUUGCAUUAGCAUUAGCUAAAAAGUGUUAAUAUUACUUUUAUAUGCAAAUAUCUAUCUAUUUUAUAUUAUAAAAUGGCAUCAUGCUCUACCACAGUCUUUAGAUUUACCAACGAAAUUUUCCGUCGGUAUUUGUACUAUCAUUCCAUUGGUAAUUAAUUUACUAAUGAAAUCACCGACGGAAAUGCUUCGUCGGUAAUUUUUUGUCCGUCGGUAAGUCCGUUGGUAAUAAAAAUAUAUUAUUAUCGAUGGAUUUACUUACGGAAAAGGCGUGGAAAAAAAAUUUUCGCUUCAUUUCAUCGGUAAUUAUUUAAAAAUAUUUUAAAGAAAUCCAUUUUAAAAACUAUAAAAUAAUUAAAUUAAUAUAAAUCAACACUCUAUAAUACUCAAAACGCUUGGAAAAAAAAAUCUUAUGAAAAAAAAUCCUACAACAAUAUUCAUACUUAUUAAGAACAAAAACAAUUAAAAAUAAAAUAAAAUAAAAACAAAUAUAAUGAAAAAAAACAAGAAAAAAGAAAAAUCUUACCUUAAUAUGGUUGCAAGUGAAGCUAAGAAGAGAAAAAAAAAGAAAAGAGAAGAAUCAAUACCUGAGCAUUGUGGAGAAGAGGAGUCGAGGAGAGGAGAGGAGAGAAGAAAAAGAAAUGGAUAUUAAUGUUUUUUACAUACGGAGAAGAAGAAGAAGAAGAAAUUAAGGAUCCCCGUCUGUUGUGAAAUUAGGGAUCCUAGGCUUUUUAUUGGGGCGUUUUACCGACUGAUAAUUAAAUAUUAAUAUUUUUAAUCAUUUCGUCGGUGAUUCCGUCUGUAAUAUUUAAUUUAAUCAAAAAUUUUCAGAAACCACCAAAUAUCACUGACGACUUUUCAAUUCGUCGGUGAUUCCGUCUGUAAUAUUUAAUUUAAUCAAAAAUUUUCAGAAAACCGCCAAAUAACACCGACGACUUUUCAAUCCAUCGGUAAUUUUAUCUGUAAAGAACAGUAAUUAACAGUGCAAUUGAGAAGUGAACAGUUCCAGAGCUCUCUGGAAAAUACCGACGGUAAUUUUGUUGGUAAAAAUGGCAUGUCAUCAUUUUUUUUGCUUUGUUUUAAUUUUUUUUCCCACUGUUAUUCUCUUGGUAAAUACCGAGGGAAUAUUUCUGUCGGUAAAAUCCGUCGGCAAUUUACCAAUGAAAAUAUUCACUUGGUAUUUUUAUUUGUAUUUAUCGAUUUUCUGGUAGUGGCGAUUUUAUAUAUCAUCUCAAAUUAAUAUUCUACUCAUAGUUUUUUAAUGCCAUUUAAAUGCUGUACUUUUCACUCAGCCAAUUAAUGUAGAUUUUUUACAAAAUAAAAAUAGAUCUUUGAUGUUCACUAAAUAAAUAAAUAAAAGUUAUGAAAGAGAGAAAUUAAAGAUAAUUUUUCUUAAAAAAACUGAAUGAGAAUUUUGUAUAAUAUAUUUAUUGUAAAUUAAUUUUAUUUUGAUCAAAUGAAAAUCGUAUUAUAAAGAUUUAUUUAAUAUGUGUAUUCCAUAUUUUUUGUAAUUUAAAAUAAAAAAUAUCUCUAAUAUUGGAUUAAUCCAUUUCAAGAUAUUUUGUAAUUAUUGACUUUAAAAUAUUAUAUAGAUUUUUCGUCAAUAAUUCACUUAAUAACUCUUUCAGAGUUAAGUAAAUACAGCACUCCACUUUCUAAAUUAUUUAUAAAAAUUUAUAUAAAAGUGAAUCGAUGAUCUAUAUGCUAUUAUUAUACUAAAAUACAGAUUGAAUCAUUUCACUUAAUAUCUAGCAGUUGCUAGGGCCCCAACUGCUUUUUUAAAAUAAUAAAAUGAGAGCUACAAGACCUACCUAAUGAUCAUAUCCACGUGGAAGAAUCUUGAUGGGAGUUCAAAAACUUUAGGCUAAUUGAUUGUGAGAUCACAUCUUUCUAUUUUUAUUUUCAUUUUCAUUUUCAGUGACCCGAGUAAAGUGCGAAUCUGAUACGUGGAGCAAACGGUGGCAUAUCUCAUCAUGCGACAAGGCUCACGUCUCCAUGUGCUUUUUCUUCGUUGGUCGGUGUUUGGAUUAUUAUAGCUAUUGUUUAAAAAGUUUUUUUAUUUAAAAUAUAUAUUAAAAUAUUAUUUUUUAUUUUUAAAAAUUAAUAAAAAAAUUCAAAAUAGUAUAACGAUUAAAAAAACAUUUUUUGAAUGUAAAAACAAACAUACUUUUGCUCAGUUAUUAAUAACAUUUAAACGCUAUAAAUAGUAUAAAGAAGCGAAUUACGUAGUGUAAACUCACCUCUUUAACUGUUGAUAUGAAUAGUGAAGGAAAUGGGUUUUUUCCCCUUAAUUUCCGGCUUCUUCUUAUUUUCAGUAAAAUAAUGAGAGUCAAAUUAAAAAACAUAACAUAUAAUAAAUUAAAUUUAAACGAUAAAAUUAAAAAUAUAUAAAAUUUCUAUAAAAAAAUAUAGAACAAAAAUUAGAAAUUAAAAUAAUAAAAAUUGAAGUUGAAAUACAAGCAACAAAGAGGGCAAUGUGUUAUUUUUAGGGGAAGAGAAAAAAAAAGUACAUCGACGACAAACCAAACAAUCACCGCCGACACAUGUUGUUACUCCAAAAAGAAGACAUGGUGGCGCUUCAAUUCUAACGACACUAUUGAAGGGUGUUUUUAAACAUCAGGAGGUGUUGCAUAUGUCGUUUCAAGGGUGCGAGCGACUCCCACACUUCGAAACAUGCACUAUAUGCGACCUAACCUUUUUGUUUUUUUUUUAUAUAUAUUUAGUUAAAUACUUAAUUUCUCCUAAGCUAAUCUAAAAAUAAUAAAAAAAUCAUUGCGAAAAGAUGAAAACACGCUUUGACACUAGUUUUAAAUUUGCUGCUUUUAAUGGUAUUUUUUUUAUUUUACUGUAUAUUUAAAAUGAAAAAAAAAUUAUUUAUUUCUGAUUGAUUCGGUAAUGAUUAAUAAACCUUAUAAAAAGACUAAAAUACCCUUAAAAGUCAAUGUUGAGUUAUUUGGCAAAAAAAAGUAAAAUCGUCGUUACAUUAUUUAAGUGAACUGCAUGCGCAAAUAAUUUUGGGUAAAGCAUGCUUUUUAAAGGGGGUUUAACUUUUGUUAAUGAGGCAAUUUCUUCUUCCUUACCUUGUCUUUCUAAUGCAGAGAGUGGUGUGUGAAUGUCAAUAUAUAUACAAUUUCAGUACUAGCUAGAGAGAUGACUAUGAUAAUUAAGGUUGGGAAAACUUUUUCAUCCUAGACCUCUCUUGACUCGUAAACCUAGCUCUUCUCAUAGGUCCAUUGCACCUUCCAUUCAAUAGAAAAACAAAAUCCUUAUUCUAACCAAAACAAAAAAGAAGAGUUAAUUACAACUUAAUGUCUAUAAUUUAAUGAAAUUAAUUGAUUAGUACUUUUUAUAGUUUUAAAAACUAUUAUUUUUUAAAUUGAAUAAUUUUAUGGGAAAUUAGGUAUUUUUUAAAACAAAAAAAAAACAAAAUUAAGGAUAGUGAGAAUUAGUUAAAAGACUAUUUAGUUAUUUUUAUAAUACAGAGAUUAAUUAAUUAAUUCUAAUAAAUUAUAAGGACUAAGUUGCGAUAAACUCAAAAGAAAUAAAAUCCCAAAUAAAACAGAACAAACCGUAUGUUGGGAACCGAACCGAUAUCGAUAUCGCUUUUGGCUUUCACGCAGGAAAUGGGAACUUUCUUUGGCUGGAUACAAUAUGGACAAACAAGGUAGAAUCAUAGAGCUCCACUUGAUUGGAUUUCCGAUUCUAACCUCACAAGCAAUGUGAGGAGGAUAACAAUCUCUCCUUAUAUAUUGUCAGCGCAAGCUCUGCCAGUUUGGUCAUAGUUAGUUCGAGCUUCUUGAUUCUUUUCUUGUCUCUCUCAGAGCACGAGUUCUUACGCUGUGGAUAUGGCCUCGCAUGGUAAACUAAGCAUUUCUACAUCCCCGGAAAGCGGCAACGGAGAAAGAAGCAGUGCUGUGGCAUCAAGCUCGCCAAAAGGCCAAUGCCUGUGCUCGCCAACAACACAUCAAGGGUCAUUCAGGUGCAGGCUUCAUCGGGCGCCAAGGUCAUCUGCUGCUCCGAUGAUGAAAAGAUCAAAGUCUAUGCCACCAAAAGACGCUCCAACUUCCCUUUCUCCCAAGUCAGUUGAGUCUACUUGAUUAAUAUUUAUAGCUUAGUAACAAGUGGUUCCUUUGUGAAUCAACCUCCCACGAGAUCCUAUCUAUCUAUACCUCACCGACUGUGUAGAAAAAAACCUAAGCAGAAGAAGUAUACUGGGGAUGUAGAUGAUUUGUUGUGGUUGCUUCGAUCUAAUUAACGUUUCCAUUUUAAUUAUAUGCAGAAAACUACUGCAGCUUAUUCUGUCUUGUUGUUGAUAAUUUAAUCAUCCCCAGCAAAAAAUUAAAGAGAAAAAAUGGAACUGGGGUCAUGGCUGUUGGAUUGUCGCGCUGCCAAACGGAACAGUAGAACUUUGUCUGUCUUUGUGCUAUGAUUGGUAUGCAAUUAUGCAUAUUAAAUGUAUAUAUACGCACGUUCCUUGCCUCUUAGCUUGCUCUGUUUGGAAGCAACAGGUGGUUCUGGAUGGAUGGAUCUUCUUCUCCUUUUUUUUUCCUUCAACUUCUAUGAAUAUUUUUGCGGAAAUUGUCUUCCUAAUUCAAUAAAAGAUAAAUUAAUCAUAAAAAAAUUAUGAAACUUGUAAAAAAUUUACUUCUCACGGUAUGAUGUGCGUUUUACUUUCUUCUUUUAUAAGUGUAAUCUACUUUUACAUUUA